rnacentral:rRNA from 1 species
CAGUAGCCGCGGUAACACGAAGGGUGCAAGCGUUAAUCGGAAUUACUGGGCGUAAAGCGUGCGUAGGCGGUGAGUUAAGUCCGCUGUGAAAUCCCCGGGCUCAACCUGGGAAUGGCAGUGGAUACUGGCUCGCUAGAGUGUGUCAGAGGAUGGUGGAAUUCCCGGUGUAGCGGUGAAAUGCGUAGAGAUCGGGAGGAACAUCAGUGGCGAAGGCGGCCAUCUGGGACAACACUGACGCUGAGGCACGAAAGCGUGGGGAGCAAACAGGAUUAGAUACCCGCGUAGUCCCUGUCUCUUAUAC